UCUAUCAUAACUUGUUGAUUUGUAUAUCAAGCUAUCGUUUCGGUGAGUUGAUAAUAAUCUAUUAUCAGAGCUAUUAUUAAAAAUGGGUAAGGAGAUCGUCAAUGCUUAUAUGGACGAAAUUUUACUAAAAAAAUGGACACUAAGAGUAAAGGGCUCUUGUGUCCAACGGCUACGCUAUCAGCACGCAUCGUCUUCGGUGCUCUUGGCGGGAAAAACGCGCCGUUAUACGGCGUGGGGGGAAUCGUGCGAUCGUACGACAUUGCCUCGUGUGGCAUAUGGACGAAUCUAGCACUUGUCUGAAUCAUACCGUACUGUUGCGUACCGAUUAUUCGAGACUGGUUUGUGAUACAUUGCAAUAAAACUUCGAUACUACGCUAGUACUAUCAUAGCCUCAUAAUGAUUUCUUUGGCUAAAAUAACGGAUUGGACACCAGAGUAUUUUAUUGCAAAUAAAUCGAAUUGUAAUGCGAUCUUGGAAAAUCUAGAUGCUUUAAAAGAAAUUCCCUUACUAAAUAAUGCCCCUAUUCAUGCAUUCAGGGAUGGUCAAUUGGUCAAAUUUAAAGGAAUGAUUCAAGAUAUGCACAAUCCUGAAUAUUACUUACAAGUGUAUGAAGUCAAAAAUACUCAAACUGAAACAUUCCAGCUAAAAUGUGGGAUGUAUACAGAUUCUGCAAAAUGUUUGCCGCACGAAAUGAUUUUGUUGGAAUCGGAAAAGAAUCAAAAUUCAGAAAGACAUACAUGUAUUGUGAUAUCAACUCCUGGUUUAAAUGAUUGGGCAAAGGAAACAUAUGAACAGUCACAUUAUUCAAGUAUAAGAUCCACUAAUAAUCACAAAAGAAGUUUAGACAACGAUAAUAGUGAGACUACAAACUAUUUGGAAUUAAUACAAAAAAAAGGAAGAAUAUCACCAAUCGAUAAUAAUGAAAAAAUGGAAACAAUGAAAUGUAAUACAAGACAACAAAGUGCAUUUUCAAAGGAAUAUAUAUUAAAUUUUCCAUUUCCUAUGGACGAUGGUAAAGCUUGCAUUGUAAAGAUAUACGAAGAUAUGUCUUUAAAACUGAAUCAAGUUAUUGAAAUAAUAGGUUUUAUAUCCCUGGAUCCUCUUUUAAAUAUUGCUCAUGAUUCAGAUGAAACUAUGACAGAAGCUGAGAUGACUGUGCACCAUCCACCAGUAUCUCUUGUUCCACGAUUACACGCUAUAAAAAUAAUCCAUUCAACUAAACAAGAUAUGACGAUUGCUUCUCAAGUGAUAUCUAAUGCAGAAUUAAUAAGAAGCGAUCUUCACUUAAUACUAAGUCAACUUUUAUUUGGGGAUCACCUGGCUGCAGAUUACUUAAUCUGUCAUUUACUUUCAUCAGUUUACAUGAAGAGGGAUUACUUCUGUCUUGGUACUUAUCCACUAAAUAUAACACACUUUUCUGUGACUAAAUGCAAGGAAUUUCCAAAGUAUUUAUAUAAAUUUUUAACUUUAUUCAUCAAGAAAAGUUACUUGUUGGAAAUCACAUUAGAAAAUUUAAACAAUUUGACAUUGUUGCCAAAGAAAGAUUACGAGUGUAAUAGGCUAACCAGCGGAAUACUCCAACUUAGCGACAAUACACAUCUCGUAAUAGACGAAACAGGACUAACUACUGGUCAAAUUACACAAGUCGGACGAGAAAAUUACAACGCGAUUUGCGACUUGAUUAACUUUCAAAAAGUUACAUAUGAUUUUGAAUUUUAUAAAAUAGAAUACGAAACGGAUAUUCCAGUCUUAAUUUUGUCAGAAGCUAAAUCUUUUAUCCCUUGUCAAACUCAAGUUCUACUAAAAGUAGAUUCAGAAUCAGAAAGCGUUUAUCCUCAAAUAAUAAAAAUCGCUGAACAGUAUUUGAAAGAUGAAAAUAGAUUGAUAAAUAUUCGACAGUAUUUAGAAACUAUUCGAGAUACAAAAUUUGAAUUCAACGAUGAAGAUGUUAUAAAGGAAAUUCAAAAUGAUUUCAUACAAUGGAAGCAGAAAAAUAAAAAUGCUGAUCAUUUACACUUAUUAAUGGUAUUGGCUAGAUUAUUAUCUUUAUCAUAUGGAUCGAAUACUUUAACUAUAGAAUAUUGGAAAAAGGCAUUCCAAAUGGAAAUAGAAAGAUUAAAUAGAUUACCGGGGAAAAAAGAAACUUAACUGUUGAUUAAAAAUAAAGCUUGUGCAUAUCUUUUCGAAAGUGCAACUUCUCCCUUAAAACCUGGAAUAUGACCGGUAUAGCCUACAAUUGGUGGUCUUUCAGGAGAAACUUCAUAAUCUGUGUUUGCCGCAGGUGGAAAUUCGAUACCAUCUUGAAACGGGGGACCAAAGAGAAAAAGAUGAUUCUUAAAUUACGCGAUACGUCAUCGGAUAUAACAUCGGUAUUAUUCUCACAGAUACUGAAUCGAAGACCAUUUUCCAACCGAACUUUUUAAACGUAAUGUGUUCAAAUUAUCGUGUUAAAUCAACGCCUCCAUCGCUUCCAUUGCUUUCAUCCCUUUCUUUCGGCAUUCGCACUUUUCGAUCGAAACUUUUUAUAACGUAGAAUUUCUUUGCAGUUCAUUUGUAAUAAAAUUUAAACGCGAACGAAAAUGCAAUCAGUAAUACGAAAGUCGCGCUACUAGUACAUAAGAAACGUAUAUGCAUGUAUACGUAUAUAUAUACCAAAAGCUGUAUACUGCAUAUCGCAGAGUGUGCUACACGCGUUAUAAUUGAGUAAAAGUCCUUUCUUAUAUGAUAAUUCUUGGUUACUUGAAUAUAGAUAGUGUUUGUAAUUUUGUGAACAUAAUGCACCAAGCAACGAUAUAUGUUACAAAUAUAUCGUUUAGUUAUCGUUAUUCAGUUACUGUGUUAGUUACUUAAUUACUCUGUUAUGAUUUGAAGGAAGGAAGAAAGAAAAGAAAGGAUCGGAAGGAUUUUCAAAGCUAUGUUUUCAUCGAAUAGAUCCUCGACAGCUUUGUUUUUAGUAUAAUUCAAAAAAUUGUUUUAUAAACCACGAUAAUCAAGGUUCGCGAAAUAAACUUGGAUCUUUGUUGAAACGAAUGAAAACUGCCCGACAAUAAGAUUUCACAAUAUAUAUAUUAGCAAAGAAACACACUGUGAAACCUCUUUAUAAUCGUAAACGAAAAGCGUUUCGCGUGUUACCGUCUUCCUUUCGCGUUUCAUCGAUAACUGGAUACGAUUUAGUACCAGGCAAUGGUUUCCUAGGAGUAACACAACUCCGUUACCUUCAAGAAGAUCGAUACGCGCAGGAGGUGGGGAAAAGUAGAAGAAAGACCAUUCGAAUCUGCCAUGAUCGAUCGGUUAAAAAAAGGCGAGAAAGUAAAAGAUCUCGCAAUCAUCGCGCAGCAAAUUAUCACCAAUUUUAAUAUGAAAAUGAUUUAGCAAUAGAUCGAAGACUGUAUCGGGAAUGAGCCAUUAUUUAGCUUAUAAAAAUUAUAGACUGCGUGACAGGCUGCGAUAUCAAAUCAUUUAAAUGAUUUAUUUUUUAUCACAUAAUUUGUACAAAUAUCGAUAGAAAAUGUCGAUAGAAUUCCCGUCAAAUACAAUCAUUUAGCAAUCUA